rnacentral:rRNA from 1 species
AAAUGAAUAGACGGGGGCCCGCACAAGCAGCGGAGCAUGUGGUUUAAUUCGAAGCAACGCGAAGAACCUUACCAGGUCUUGACAUCGAUCCAAAAGCCAUAGAGAUAUGGUGUAACUACGGUUGGGAGAAGACAGGUGGUGCAUGGUUGUCGUCAGCUCGUGUCGUGAGAUGUUGGGUUAAGUCCCGCAACGAGCGCAACCCUUGUUGUCAGUUACUAACGCAUAGAGGCGAGGACUCUGACGAGACCGCCGGGGACAACUCGGAGGAAGGUGGGGACGACGUCAAAUCAUCAUGCCCCUUAUGACCUGGGCUACACACGUGCUACAAUGGUGGCAACAAAGAGGAGCGAACCCGCGAGGGGGAGCGGAUCUCAAAAAAGCCAUCUCAGUUCGGAUUGUGGGCUGCAACCCGCCCACAUGAAGUCGGAGUUGCUAGUAAUCGCGAAUCAUCAUGUCGCGGUGAAUACGUUCCCGGGCCUUGUACACACCGCCCGU